CUCAGCUAGUCACAACAGGGUGAGCCCGAAGUUUCUAACCUGAUGAUAUCAAAGCAUUUAAUAUUGCUAGGAAGCAUCCAAACUCCUACAGAAAACUGGGGCUUUUGAUAACUGGAUCAAAAGGAAUGCUGUUUGCAGAAGUAACAUUCCUUUGAACACUCAGCUUUCUGAAAUGGUGUCCCACCACAAGACUGGAGAAGGGAUUUACUUUCCUGUAUAAUGGAUUCAUUUUGAACAAGCUGCCUCCACAUGAUGGCAAAUAUGACCCUGAAUAUCUGCAAUGGAUAUACAUUAGCAGGCCUCCUCUUGCUCUCUGAGCAAAAUUCUGCCAGUCCCAUGGUCUGCCGGGGUCACAGGAAUCUCUGAGAGGCCUUUUGUCAUCUUUUCGGCUACGCUUAAGCACGUGGGCAUUAUGCUACUGUCAAGAGAUGCAAACAUUCUCGGAGCCGACUCAGAUCCAUCAGGCUUGACAGCCUGUAGUCUGUUGCCCCCACCCCCAAGUUUCCACAUUGGAAAGGAGCACUGAUCUCCUCACACUCACAUUUCCAGCCAGUCUAGGAUUUCUGUUUUUCCCUUGUCUGAAUCUGACCAGGUAGAAGAGGAAGCAGAGAGCCAGAAAUCUUUCUUCAGAACUCACUCAACAUGUACCCUGUCAUCCUCUAGGACAUUGUAUCCUUCGUCUUGAAAUAUGAUAUCUUGGUUCUAACUCAUUAAUUAGUACAGUUUGUACAAUGUGAGGUUUAUUUCUUUGCUUCCUUUUGAGGACUAAGCUAAAAAUAGACUUGUUUGUUUGAAUUAUUUUUUUUCUUUAAGUUGUGGCAUAUUCCUUUUCUGAGGCAAAAGCAUAGAAGAUACUAAUUGGCUAAAUAAAGUCCAAGAAAAUACAUAGAAAAUAUGUGAAUUCACAUUUCAAAAUAGCAUCCUACCACAGCUAUUUGUGCGCUAUUCAUUUAAUACACCUUUCCUGCUAAAAUGUAAGCUCUUUUGAAGGCAGUGUAAUUUUUGUGUUCAUCACUGUAUGCCCAUCAACUUGUACCAUUGCCUGA
rnacentral:lncRNA from 1 species